GGCUCAGUGGUCUAGUCGUAUGAUUCCCGCUUCGGAGACACCGGAGCUUCAGGUGAUUACACCUUAAUUGCGGGAGGUCCCGGGUUCAAAUCCCGGCUGAGCCC
rnacentral:tRNA from 1 species